rnacentral:rRNA from 1 species
UUUAUGGAGAGUUUGAUCCUGGCUCAGGAUGAACGCUGGCGGCGUGCCUAAUACAUGCAAGUCGAGCGAACAGAUAAGGAGCUUGCUCCUUUGACGUUAGCGGCGGACGGGUGAGUAACACGUGGGUAACCUACCUAUAAGACUGGAAUAACUCCGGGAAACCGGGGCUAAUGCCGGAUAACAUGUUGAACCGCAUGGUUCUACAGUGAAAGACGGUCUUGCUGUCACUUAUAGAUGGACCCGCGCCGUAUUAGCUAGUUGGUGGGGUAACGGCCUACCAAGGCGACGAUACGUAGCCGACCUGAGAGGGUGAUCGGCCACACUGGAACUGAGACACGGUCCAGACUCUACGGGGGGCAGCCGAGGGAAUCUUCCGCAAUGGGCGAAAGCCUGACGGAGCAACGCCGCGUGAGUGAUGAAGGUCUUCGGAUCGUAAAGCUGUGUUGUUGGGAAGAACAAAUGUGUAAGUAACUGUGCACAUCUUGACGGUACCUAACCAGAAAGCCACGGCUAACUACGUGCCAGCAGCCGCGGUAAUACGUAGGUGGCAAGCGUUAUCCGGAAUUAUUGGGCGUAAAGCGCGCGUAGGCGGUUUUUUAAGUCUGAUGUGAAAGCCCACGGCUCAACCGUGGAGGGUCAUUGGAAACUGGAAAACUUGAGUGCAGAAGAGGAAAGUGGAAUUCCAUGUGUAGCGGUGAAAUGCGCAGAGAUAUGGAGGAACACCAGUGGCGAAGGCGGCUUUCUGGUCUGCAACUGACGCUGAUGUGCGAAAGCGUGGGGAUCAAACAGGAUUAGAUACCCUGGUAGUCCACGCCGUAAACGAUGAGUGCUAAGUGUUAGGGGGUUUCCGCCCCUUAGUGCUGCAGCUAACGCAUUAAGCACUCCGCCUGGGAGUACGGUCGCAAGACUGAAACUCAAAGGAAUUGACGGGGACCCGCACAAGCGGUGGAGCAUGUGGUUUAAUUCGAAGCAACGCGAAGAACCUUACCAAAUCUUGACAUCCUUUGACCGCUCUAGAGAUAGAGUUUUCCUCUUCGGAGGACAAAGUGACAGGUGGUGCAUGGUUGUCGUCAGCUCGUGUCGUGAGAUGUUGGGUUAAGUCCCGCAACGAGCGCAACCCUUGAACUUAGUUGCCAUCAUUCAGUUGGGCACUCUAAGUUGACUGCCGGUGACAAACCGGAGGAAGGUGGGGAUGACGUCAAAUCAUCAUGCCCUUAUGAUUUGGGCUACACACGUGCUACAAUGGACAAUACAAAGGGCAGCGAAACCGCGAGGUCAAGCAAAUCCCAUAAAGUUGUUCUCAGUUCGGAUUGUAGUCUGCAACUCGACUACAUGAAGCUGGAAUCGCUAGUAAUCGUAGAUCAGCAUGCUACGGUGAAUACGUUCCCGGGUCUUGUACACACCGCCCGUCACACCACGAGAGUUUGUAACACCCGAAGCCGGUGGAGUAACCAUUUUGGAGCUAGCCGUCGAAGGUGGGACAAAUGAUUGGGGUGAAGUCAAGGUAGCCGUAUCGGAAGGUGCGGCUGGAUCACCUCCUUUCU